GCGAUACCUAGUGUGAAUUGCAGAAUUCCGCGAAUCAUCGAGUUUUUGAACGCAUGUUGCGCCCAAGGCUCGUUCCGAGGGCAUGCCUGCCUGAGCGUCCGC
rnacentral:rRNA from 1 species